UGCAGGCCAUGCAGCCGCAGCCGUAGUAGCCGCAGGCAUCGGUGUGGCUGGAAAGAGCAUCGUCAGAGUUCCAGAAUCCGACGACCGGAUGGGCCACAUGGGCCAGCCACCCUGUCUUUCCCAGAAAAAAAAUAGAAGGUGGAGAGUUCUCCGUCCGAUCAUGAUUCAACCCCCAGAGAGUCCCUGCUUUCGCUCCACCAGAAGACCCUCGAGGCCC
rnacentral:lncRNA from 1 species